rnacentral:rRNA from 1 species
GAUGAACGCUAGCUACAGGCUUAACACAUGCAAGUCGAGGGGCAGCAUGAACAUAGCUUGCUAUGUUUGAUGGCGACCGGCGCACGGGUGCGUAACACGUAUCCAAUCUGCCCGUUACUCGGGGAUAGCCUUCUGAAAGGAAGAUUAAUACCCGAUGGCAUUCAUUGGCGGCAUCGCUUUUGAAUUAAAGAUUUAUCGGUAACGGAUGAGGAUGCGUACGAUUAGCUAGUUGGCGGGGUAACGGCCCACCAAGGCUACGAUCGUUAGGGGUUCUGAGAGGAAGGUCCCCCACACUGGAACUGAGACACGGUCCAGACUCCUACGGGAGGCAGCAGUGAGGAAUAUUGGUCAAUGGGCGAGAGCCUGAACCAGCCAAGUAGCGUGAAGGAUGACUGCCCUACGGGUUGUAAACUUCUUUUGUUUGGGAAUAAAAGACGCUACGUGUAGUGCUCUGCAUGUACCUUACGAAUAAGCAUCGGCUAAUUCCGUGCCAGCAGCCGCCGUAAGAC